rnacentral:lncRNA from 1 species
AUACAUGUUGAAGACACUGAAGACUGCUUGCUUGGAUGUUGACCAUCUUUAUUUGAUGCCUUUGAUCUUCAUAUUGAUUGCUUGGAUGGUUAUUCUUAUUGCUUCCUUAAAAUUCCAAAGGAAAUGGGUUUCUAUCUGACAUUCUUGUCUUGUGGAUUGCAUCUCAUUGGUCAGAUCUCUUCAACUCCAAACUUUUAACUUUUGUCUAGGGUAGUCCAUUCAUCUUCUCCCACUUCUUUAAUUUCA